GCACUUCCGAGGAGUCCCACAUCAGGACGAAACGGCUGUCUAGUAC
rnacentral:hammerhead_ribozyme from 1 species